ensembl:lncRNA
AGAGACCUCUCUGACAUAAUUUCCAUCAGCAGAUAGCUGGUCCAACACAGUCUUCCAGCACUGCAAAACAGACAAUAAAUAAUGUGCCACGAGUAAUAUGCAAACACAUCUCUCCAUUCAAAGCAUUGACCCAAAGUGAAACCACAUGAAGUCCAAGCUGACGUUCCCUUUCCUAUAAUCAGUGACUGUGAGCUUGAUUUUACAGGCUUAAAAUCCUUUCCUUUAAGCGAGACACAAGCUUGCUUUAACAAAACACACUCUCCAUUCAGAAUAACUGUUUUAUCUGCCCACACAGAAUGUCUUUUUCUGUUGUAUUGAAUUGUGGGAGUAGGUGGUCUUGCAUACCUGUGAUCUCUUCUUUCAGAGGUCCAAAGCCAGCAAAUAAUACCUUGAGGACAUUUCUCCCGGGGUGAGGACCUCAAACCAAACAGACUUGUACUGAACCUUGAUUGAACCAACAACGACUCAUACGACGCAUGUUUGAUCCAAGGAAAGGGGAGAGGGGUUGAAAUCAAAAGGAAGCUGGUUGAAUUACAUGGCCUCUGGUACACAUAACCAUGUCCAUGUGUGUUUGUCUGGAGUGUGUUUUCUACAAGGGUAGCAGAGGGAAAUAAGAGCCAGGAGUGACUUAUCACUACAGGAAUGUAUAAGGAGACCCAAGGGGAUGGAUGGAGGGCUGCUAGGAGGCACAGACACAACCAGAACAUACUGCUGAGAGAAAAGACAGGAAAAGAGGGGGAAAGACUUGACAGGUCCAGGUGCCAAUUAAAUUGUAAUUACAUGGAAAACAGUAACCAGAACAUCACAAUGUGUUCUAAGAAAGGUUUGAAAUAAAAGGAGGCUUGAGUAAAUGUUACCAGAAUUUCCAUUUUUCGGUUGAUCCAUUUCUCUAGCAGCUUAUUUAACCUCAAAAUACAUGAUUUUUGACAGACAGCAUCUGUACACGUUCACUUCUUCCCAAGUUGACAGCAGAAACAAAGCAGUCGAGGAACAUGUCAAUCAAACAUCCUUCAUUCAGCAGAAGCAGCACAGAGCUAAUGUACGUGAGUCAGUGCGCCUUCAGCUUUUGAAAGGGUGCUAAUUAUCACUGAAUAGAUGACGUAAGAGCAUUAAAGAUUAAUAAGACUUUAUCAAACUUUAAAUAAAUGUAAUAUUCGGUUUAAUCA